AAAUCACAGGUCCGCAAGGGCUUUGCACAGGUGGUGCAUGGCUGUCGUCAGCUCGUGUCGUGAGAUGUUGGGUUAAGUCCCGCAACGAGCGCAACCCUCGUCUUGUGUUGCCAUCAGGUAAUGCUGGGAACUCACAAGAGACUGCCGGGGUCAACUCGGAGGAAGGUGGGGACGACGUCAAGUCAUCAUGCCCCUUAUGUCUAGGGCUGCACGCAUGCUACAAUGGCCGAUACAAAGGGCUGCGAUACCGCAAGGUGGAGCGAAUCCCAUAAAGUCGGUCUCAGUUCGGAUUGAGGUCUGCAACUCGACCUCAUGAAGUUGGAGUUGCUAGUAAUCGCGGAUCAGCAACGCCGCGGUGAAUACGUUCCCGGGCCUUGUACACACCGCCCGUCACGUCACGAAAUCGGUAACACCCAAAACCAGUGUCCAACCGUAAGGGGGAAGCUG
rnacentral:rRNA from 1 species